AUGCUUGGAUGGAAUAAAACCCGCUGUAGGUUUUUGGAUCCACUCAGCAGAGGAGACUAUCCCGAGAGCAUGAAAGUAUUGGUCGGAAACCGCCUGCCACAGUUCACCAGACAACAGUCUAAAUUGGUGAAGGGUGCAUUUGACUUCAUUGGAAUCAACUACUACAGUACAAACUACGCUUAUAGCCUUCCUCCAUCUAAUUGCCUGAGGAACAGCUACUCUACUGAUGCUCAAGCUAAUCUUACGGGUAUUCGAAAUGGUGUCCCCAUAGGUCCUCAGGCUGCUUCGCCUUGGCUCUACGUCUACCCUCAAGGCCUCCAUGAUAUGCUACUUUUUCUCAAGGAGAAGUACCACAAUCCAACCAUCUACAUCACUGAAAAUGGAUUCGAUGAAGCCAACAACAAGAGACUACCACUAAAUGAAGCCCUCAAGGACGAUGCCAGGAUAGACUACCACCACAUGCACCUUGUUGCCCUGCUGAGUGCGAUCAGGGACGGGGCAAACGUGAAGGGGUAUUUCGUGUGGUCGCUGCUCGACAACUUCGAGUGGGAGAGCGGGUACACAGUGCGGUUUGGGUUACACUAUGUGGACUACAACCAUGGUCUAAAGCGGUACCCCAAGCGCUCUGCUGGCUGGUUCAAGAAUUUUCUCAAGGAUGAUCUCACAGAUAACUUGGAAACCAGCGACAAAUAA
rnacentral:rRNA from 1 species